AUUGAACGCUGGCGGAAUGCUUUACACAUGCAAGUCGAACGGCAGCACGGGUGCUUGCACCUGGUGGCGAGUGGCGAACGGGUGAGUAAUACAUCGGAACGUACCCAGUCGUGGGGGAUAACGUAGCGAAAGUUACGCUAAUACCGCAUACGUCCUGAGGGAGAAAGCGGGGGACCGUAAGGCCUCGCGCGAUUGGAGCGGCCGAUGGCGGAUUAGCUAGUUGGUGGGGUAAAGGCCUACCAAGGCGACGAUCCGUAGCGGGUGUGAGAGGACGGCCCGCCACACUGGAACUAGGACACGGUCCAGACUCAUACGGGAGGCAGCAGUGGGGAAUUUUGGACAAUGGGCGAAAGCCUGAUCCAGCCAUUCCGCGCGAGUGAAGAAGGCCUUCGGGUUGUAAAGCCCUUUCGGCAGGGAAGAAACGGCUUGGGAUAAUACCCCGGGCUAAUGACGGUACCUGAAGAAGAAGCACCGGCUAACUACGUGCCAGCCGCCGCCGUAA
rnacentral:rRNA from 1 species